CAAAGGGUAGUUGAAUAUUACGAUCUUAACUUUGGGAGUUAAGGAUGGAAGUUAAAGUCUUCCCCCUUUGA
rnacentral:tRNA from 1 species